AGUGAACGCUGGCGGUAUGCCUAACACAUGCAAGUCGAACGGCAGCACAGUAAGCGCUUGCUCUUACGGGUGGCGAGUGGCGGACGGGUGAGGAAUACAUCGGAAUCUACUUUUUCUUGGGGGAUAACGUAGGGAAACUUACGCUAAUACCUCAUACGACCUACGGGUGAAAUCAGGGGAUCUUCGGACCUUUCGCGAUUGAAUGAGCCGAUGUCGGAUUAGCUAGUUGGCGGGGUAAAGGCCCACCAAGGCGACGAUCCGUAGCUGGUCUGAGAGGAUGAUCAGCCACACUGGAACUGAGACACGGUCCAGACUCCUACGGGAGGCAGCAGUGGGGAAUAUUGGACAAUGGGCGCAAGCCUGAUCCAGCCAUACCGCGUGGGUGAAGAAGGCCUUCGGGUUGUAAAGCCCUUUUGUUGGGAAAGAAAAGCAGCAGGUUAAUACCCCGCUGUUCUGACGGUACCCAAAGAAUAAGCACCGGCUAACUUCGUG
rnacentral:rRNA from 1 species